GUCAAGUAAGAAUACCCGCUGAACUUAAGCAUAUCAAUAAGCGGAGGAAAAGAAACUAACUAGGAUUCCCUUAGUAACGGCGAGUGAACUGGGAAGAGCUCAAAUUUUAAAUCACCUUGGUGAAUUGUAAUUUGAAGAAAGUGUUUUGACAUUUCAGUUUAAUCUAAAUCCUUUGGGAUAAGGUAUCACAGAGGGUGAGAAUCCCGUAUGUGAUUAGACUUCGGAAUGCAUUAAUUCACUUUCUAAGAGUCGAGUUGUUUGGGAUUGCAGCUCAAAAAGGGUGGUAAAUUUCACCUAAGGCUAAAUAUAUGCAAGAGACCGAUAGCGAACAAGUACCGUGAGGGAAAGAUGAAAAGAACUUUGAAAAGAGCGUUAAACAGUACGUGAAAUUGUUAAAAGGGAAACGAUUGAAGUCAGUCAUGCUAGUAAGGAAUCAACUUGGUGGAGUGAGUUUAGGUUUGUAAAGUAGGGUAACCACUUGCAUAUCUUUUUUCUCUCCCUUCCUCGUGUACUUUCUUUCUUGGCAGGUUAGCAUCAAUUUUAGUUGUCAUCAAAGAAUUGGGGAAAUGUGGCUUCUCUUCGGGGAAGUGUUUAUAGACCCUGAUAGAUGUGGCGACUGGGCUUGAGGAUUGCAGCGGAUGCCUUUGGCUAGUCACCUGUCUUCUGACGGUCACCUCGCUUUUGACAGCUUGCUGAUGAUUGUGGGAUUUGGCAGUUUAGAAGUCAGAGUGAACAUAAAUUCGCUAAGGAUGCUGACGUAAUGGCUUUAAACGACCCGUCUUGAAACACGGACCAAGGAGUCUAACAUAUGUGCGAGUGUU
rnacentral:rRNA from 1 species